GCAAGUCGAACGAAGUAGCAAUACUUAGUGGCAGACGGGUGAGUAACAUGUAGGUAUCUGCCCUUUGGCCUGGAAUAACACGAGGAAACUUGUGCUAAUACCGAUAAGUCUUUACGGAGAAAGCUUUAUGCACCAUUGGAUGAGCCUGCACUUGAUUAGUUUGUUGGUGGGGUAAUGGCCUACCAAGACUGUGAUCAAUAGCUGAUUUGAGAGGAUGAUCAGCCACAUUGGGACUGAGACACGGCCCAAACUCCUACGGGAGGCAGCAGUGGGGAAUCUUGCACAAUGGAGGAAACUCUGAUGCAGCGAUGCCGCGUGAGUGAAGAAGGCCUUAGGGUUGUAAAGCUCUUUCGUCGGGGAAGAAAAUGACUGUACCCGAAUAAGAAGGUCCGGCUAACUUCGUGCCAGCAGCCGCGGUAAUACGAAGGGACCUAGCGUAGUUCGGAAUUACUGGGCUUAAAGAGUUCGUAGGUGGUUGAAAAAGUUGGUGGUGAAAUCCCAGAGCUUAACUCUGGAACUGCCAUCAAAACUUUUCAGCUAGAGUAUGAUAGAGGAAAGCAGAAUUUCUAGUGUAGAGGUGAAAUUCGUAGAUAUUAGAAAGAAUACCAAUUGCGAAGGCAGCUUUCUGGAUCAUUACUGACACUGAGGAACGAAAGCAUGGGUAGCGAAGAGGAUUAGAUACCCUCGUAGUCCAUGCCGCACACGAUGUGUGUUAGACGUUGGAAAUUUAUUUUCAGUGUCGCAGCGAAAGCGAUAAACACACCGCCUGGGG
rnacentral:rRNA from 1 species